UCUGUAACACUUUACAGAUUGAAUAGAGCCCUUGGUCUGUGGCUUUGAAUGGCCAGCUUUUCCCACUGUCCUGGCUCAAUUAGAAAGUUGUUGACAAAAACUCCCAUGGCAACAAGCACAGCUGUGUGACACAGCAGGUGCGUUUAUCAGGACCAGGUGGGUUUCAGUUGACCAUGGCUGUGUUCACACUCAAGCUGUUCAAAUCCGAUUUCCGACUCAUGUUAUAUUGUGCCUGUGUGGACUCAAACUCCUGAUGAGAAUUGAUCAACUAACGAGCCACCUGUGCUCCUUAAAAUGGAGCUUCCAGUUUAUUCUCGGGCUGCUGCUGGAGGGAUAACACCAAUGCAGAACCACACCUGCCAAUGACCUGCAUCCAGAGGGGGACCAAACGUGUGGUUGAAUACUUGUGGUCAGAUUAACUCCCUGCUCAUGCAUGUUUUUUUCUCUCCCAUCUCUUUCGCCUGCAUGGGCCUGGCACAUGGUCUGAGUGCCAUAUACACUUGAUGACAACGGAUGAUGCAGAACGACUGGCAACCGACUACUGACGAACGAAUGAAACAACCAACCAACCAACCAAUGGAGCGAUCGUCAAGUGGUGGCAGUGGCCAUCUUGAUGACCCACCAGCAGCAUGAGCAGUAUUCUCUGGGACUGCGUUUGAUGUGCGCGUGAAUGGGGUUUUUGAACGUGUCAUCCACAGGCAUUUCCAGAUAAAGAAAAUGUUUUUACCUUUA